rnacentral:rRNA from 1 species
UGGACCAGCGGCCCGCCGGGGACCUCAAACUCUUGUAUUCCAGCAUCUUCUGAAUACGCCGCAAGGCAAAACAAAUGAAUCAAAACUUUCAACAACGGAUCUCUUGGCUCUGGCAUCGAUGAAGAACGCAGCGAAAUGCGAUAAGUAAUGUGAAUUGCAGAAUCCAGUGAAUCAUCGAAUCUUUGAACGCACAUUGCGCCCGCCAGCAUUCUGGCGGGCAUGCCUGUUCGAGCGUCAUUUCAACCCUCGACCUCCCCUGGGGGAGGUCGGCGUUGGGGACCGGCAGCACACCGCCGGCCCUGAAAUGGAGUGGCGGCCCGUCCGCGGCGACCUCUGCGUAGUAAUACGGCUCGCACCGGAACCCCGACGCGGCCACGCCGUAAAACACCCAACUUCUGAACGUUGACCUCGAAGCAGGUAGGACUAUCGGCUGAACUUAAACCGGUGAGUAACCGACGGAAUCUCCCCCGCAGAGAGAUGCGCCCCGACGAGGGAAAGGAGGAGCUAUCCAUGGGUAAGCGUAGCGCCCGCCGCAGGGGGAAGCAACAGGGCCCGUCGGAAAAAA